UAGGCAGAAGCCAGCACGUUUAAGGCAUUUAGCUGUUAACUAAAAUUUUAUGGGAUCGAAGCCCAUCUGUCUAG
rnacentral:tRNA from 1 species